UCCCAGUGUAACCUUGUCCCUGUCUGGAUACAGUAGUACAGUACCUUUAGAUAUGACCUAUAUAUCACAACAUCCCAGUGUAACCUUGUCCCUGUCUGGAUACAGUAGUACAGUACCUUUAGAUAUGACCUAUAUAUCACAACAUCCCAGUGUGACCUUGUCCCUGUCUGGAUACAGUAGUACAGUACCUUUAGAUAUGACCUAUAUAUCACAACAUCCCAGUGUAACCUUGUCCCUGUCUGGAUACAGUAGUACAGUACCUUUAGAUAUGACCUAUAUACCACAACAUCCCAGUGUAACCUUGUCCCUGCCUGGAUACAGUAGUACAGUACCUUUAGAUAUGACCUAUAUAUCCGUCUGCUUCCCAAAUAACACCUUAUUCCCUUUAUAGUGCACAACUUUACAUCAGAGACCUAUGAGCCAAUUGGGAAGCGGCCUGUGUGUUCUGUCUCACCUGAGGUGUGUGUUUGUUCUGUCUCACCUGAGGUGUGUGUGUGUGUUCUGUCUCACCUGAGGUGUGUGUGUGUGUUCUGUCUCACCUGAGGUGUGUGUGUGUGUUCUGUCUCACCUGAGGUGUGUGUGUGUUCUGUCUCACCUGAGGUGUGUGUGUGUGUGUGUGUUCUGUCUCACCUGAGGUGUGUGUUUGUUCUGUCUCACCUGAGGUGUGUGUGUGUGUUCUGUCUCUCCUGAGGUGUGUGUGUGUUCUGUCUCACCUGAGGUGUGUGUUUGUUCUGUCUCACCUGAGGUGUGUGUGUGUGUGUUCUGUCUCUCCUGAGGUGUGUGUGUUCUGUCUCACCUGAGGUGUGUGUGUGUGUUCUGUCUCACCUGAGGGGUGUGUGUGUGUGUUCUGUCUCACCUGAGGGGUGUGUGUGUGUUCUGUCUCUCCUGAGGGGUGUGUGUGUGUUCUGUCUCACCUGAGGGGUGUGUGUGUGUUCUGUCUCACCUGAGGUGUUUGUGUUCUCUCACCUGAGGGGGGUGGUGUUCUGUCCUUUCUGUCACACCUACCUGUCUGCCACGAUCCAUUGUAGACACCUGAACAUUCGUCUCUAUGCCGGGUGUCUUUCAGAAGUCCUCUGGCUACCUUUACACAGGCAGCCCAGUUCUGAUCUUUUGCCACCUAAUUGAUAUUUUGCCAAUUAUUGGGUAAAAGAUAAGAACUGGACUGCCAGCGUAAAAGGACAUAACGUAAUGCCCUACCGCAGUAUGACGUGGAGAAAAGUCUACACAUCAUUGCCUUGCCAUUCCACCAAAAUACAUGGAAUGCCCAUCGGAGGGACUACGGUCUGGGAUGGUUAUAGAAGGUCUGGGAUGGUUAUAGAAGGUCUACAGGGAUCUAUAUGUGAUCCGAUAGGGUCUAAGUGGAUAUAAGGUCUACAGGGAUCUAUAUGUGAUCCGAUAGGGUCUAAGUGGAUAUAAGGUCUGGGAUGGUUAUAGAAGGUCUACAGGGAUCUAUCUAUAUGUGAUCCGAUAGGGUCUCAGUAGAUAUAAGGUCUGGGAUGGUUAUAGAAGAUCUACAGGAAUCUAUAUGUGAUCCGAUAGGGUCUCAGUAGAUAUAAGGUCUGGGAUGGUUAUAGAAGAUCUACAGGAAUCUAUAUGUGAUCCGAUAGGGUCUCAGUAGAUAUAAGGUCUGGGAUGGUUAUAGAAGAUCUACAGGAAUCUAUAUGUGAUCCGAUAGGGUCUCAGUGGAUAUAAGGUCUGCAUGACACUAUACACUUGGGACACUUAUUAACAUGUUUCCAUAUAAUCAUAUUGGUGUGUGUUAUUGUGUAAGUGUGUGUGGUGUGUGUGUCUUAGUGUGUAAGAGGUGCCCCGGUUUAGGCUAUACUGCUGUGCUAGCCAAGGGAUUUUUAGGUUGUAUAAGCAAUAUUAAAUAUGGACUGUUGUUUUUUUUGGUGUGUAUUUUUGGAAGUGGCAGGGAGGAGGGAACGGAGAGGCGUAUUGCUUCUUAUUUCUCCCAUAUAUACACAUAUUGAUGAUGUAACAGCAGUAAAUUAUUUAUCCUAAAGCGAUUGACUACUGUGUUUUUUUGGGGGGGGAAGAAAGGAGAGAGGGGGUGUGAUGUAUGAGAGACAAAGAUAUCAUUAGUUUUUAUGUGAUUCCUUUUUUUAACAUUUUUAAUUCAGUUUAAUUUCAGAUAGUUUUCGGACCUGUUUUGCUCAUUUUUAUUAACA
ensembl:lncRNA